CUGAUCUUUAAAGUUGCUUUGAUUUUUUUUCCAGUUCCUCAGCUGAUGUCUUAUUGUAUUGGGAUAAUUUAUUUUCCCUAUCAAUAUUGUGUUCCAGACCAAACCUUCAAAAUGUUUGACUUCCCAUACUUUAGCCUCCAUAAUAUACCAUCCUUCAUUAUUUUUAUUAGUUAGCUGCAUUCUAUAAACAUGCAAUCUUAUAGAUGCCAUAUAUUUAUUCUUAAUAAAAGGAUAUCCCAUACCUCCCUUAUUCAUCUUCUGAGGUAGGGUAAUUUGACAUAGUCUUGGUGUUUUGCCUUUCCUUCCAUAUAUAUUGCAUAAAACUAUUUUGAAUAAUUUCAAGCCAGCUGUUAGAGAUAUUUAAUGGUAACA